UUCACAUUUUACCGCUAUUGACUUCCAAGUUCCCACCUGAAAGUCUUGGCCUUUCGUCAUUUGAGUCAACUCGGACUCAUGUAUUUACUUCACUAUACAUUUCUGGAGAAAUUUUUAUCGGCAUCUGUUCUUCCAGAUCGUCCAGGCGGCACCAGCUUCUCUCCAUCAAGUUUGGUGAAUUUCAGCGCAGCAUUUGAGGGAACAUGGCUAAUAAACUUAUAGACCUUGGUAUCAGACCAUUACGUGGUUACAUUUCCCUUGAGAAGAAGAUGCAACAUGUUCAAAAAGAACUUGAUCAUUUGAGGCAUCAAUGGGACAAUAUGAUCGCGAGAGUCCAAGGUGCACAGUCACACCUGCGAAAGAAAAGGAAGAGGGCAGUUGAAGAGUGGCUUAAAGCAGUAGAUGAAAUAAAAAUAGAAUUUGGAAGCCUCAAAGAACAAGCCCAGCAAGCUAGCUUUUACAGUAUAUAUGCGCGUUUGAAGAUGGUGCAACAUGCUGAUAAAAUGAUUAAGGAAGUUACAGAGCUGGGUGCAUCUCUAGAGGAGAUUUUGCCUGAUGGGCUGCUAGUAGAAACAGAGUGGCAAGGCCAAAAAAUUGAAACAAAUUUGAAAGAAAUCUGGGCAUGGCUUAUGAAUGAUGGGAUCUCAAGUGUUGGAAUAUAUGGUAUGGCAGGAGUAGGCAAGACAACUUUAGCAAAACGUAUCUAUGAGGAUUUUGUCAUUGGAACUAAAUUCUCUGAUAAAGUUUACUGGGUUACUGCCUCACAAGAGGGGACCAUCCAUAAAUUACAGGACAGUGUUGCCAUAGCCAUAAAUGUGGAUCUCUCAAAUGAGGAAGAUGAGAGGAAAAGGGCAGCCAAAUUGUUCCUGGCAUUAAGCAGAAUGGAAGAUUUUGUGAUCAUAUUGGAUGAUGUAUGGAUCCCAUUUGACAUAAAUAAAAUUGGAAUUCCUUUAGGUUUAGAUGGAAGCAAGUUGAUAGUAACCAGUCGAUCAUUAGAAGUGUGUCAUCAAGUCGGUUGCCAAAAGGAAAUAAAAGUCAAACCUCUUUGCGAGAAAGAAGCUUGGACAUUGUUUCUGGAGAAACUUCGCCCUUCACUUGAACUUCCUUUGGAUGUAAAGGAGAUUGCGAAGUCUAUGGUUCAAAGAUGCGGUGGUCUGCCACUAGGGAUUAUCACCUUGGCUGGAAACAUGAAGGGAGUGGAUGACAUUCAUGAGUGGAGGGAAGCCUUGGAAGAGUUGGAAGGAUCUUUUCUUGGGCAAAAUGGCAAUCUCUUUGAUAGCUUACAUCUCAGUUUUAAUCACUUGAGAGAUAGCAGACUGAAGGAAUGCUUCUUGUAUUGCUCUUUCUACCCUGAAAACUACAAAAUUCCAAGGGAUGAAUUAAUAAGAUUGUUGAUUUUGGAAGGAGUCAUGGAUAAAAGAAGAUCAAGGCUAUCGUUAUUUGACCAGGGUCAUGUGAUGCUGAAAAGACUUGAAAGUAUAUGCUUAUUGGAAAGCCAUACUGAAGUUAAUGUGAGUAAUUAUAGAGAAACUGAAUGUGUCAAGAUGCAUUGUUUGAUAAGAGAUAUGGCACUAACGAUAAUGGACUUUGACAGUAAGUAUAUGGUAAAAUCUGGAAGAUGCUUGAAACAUAUACCAGAUGAGAUUGAAUGGAAAGGGGACUUGGAAAAGGUCUCAUUGCUACAUAACAACAUAUCAUUAAUUUCGUCAGGCACAUCACCUAACUGUCCUAAACUUUCAAGCUUGAAUUUGGCGAGUAAUCCAUUGAGGUUAAUUCCUGAUUCAUUCUUUUUUCGGUUGAGAGCCCUCCGAGUUCUGAAUUUAAGCCGCAACUGUGAACUUGAAAUGCUGCCAAACAGUAUUUCACAAUUGGGGAACCUUACUGCACUGUUACUGUUUGAUUGUUGUAGACUCAGUUUUGUACCGCCAAUAGGGAAGCUCAAGGCAUUAAGGGAGUUAGAUUUAUGCCAUACUGCUAUCAACAAUGUACCUGAAGGCAUGGAAAGAUUGGUCAAUCUGAACUGCCUAAACAUGGAUAGGACAGGGUUGAGGAUGAUUCCAGAUGGUACAAUAUACAGACUCUCCCAUCUUCAAAGCCUUCGGAUUCCAGAAGAUGUGGAAGUCAGAGUAGAAGAACUAAAGGCACUGAAACAUCUGGAAGAAUUUCAAGGUGGAUUUUAUGAUAUAGACACUCUUUGUCAUUUUGUUAGGUAUCACCAGAGCUAUGAAACUCCCAUUUUUUAUACUAUUGAAGUGAGACCAAGUCUGAGCCAGUUAAGGUUUCUGUCUCCAGGUCCAUGCCAAAUAACUAACAAGAAGGUGACGCUUAGGGGCAUGGAACUAGAAGGAAAGAAUGCCAUAGUGCUGCCAGAGGACAUUCAACAACUUGCUAUAAUAAAAUGUCACGGCCUAGGCACCUGCUUAACUACUGCUUUUUCAUUGUUCAAUAUUCAAAAAAGUGGCUUGACUGGCUGUUUAAUUGACAAUUGUCCUGAACUAGAGUGCAUCAUGAAGGUAUCCUCUUCUGAUGACCAACUAGUUGGAAAGAGAAUAUUAUCUCCUUGGGCCCCCCUGGAAAGCAUUGAGCAUUUGAGUCUCCAUUUCUUGCCAAAUUUUGUUGGACUUUUCAAAUGCGAAAUUGAGUUUGACCGUCCUCCAUGUAGGAUCUUUUGCCAUCUAAAAUCGAUUAGCAUCAGCCGGUGCAAUACGAUGACAACAAUAUUCACACCAUGGUUGCUGCAGCACCUGCAAAAUCUGGAAGUAGUUGAAGUACUGUCUUGUGAUAGAUUGGAAGAGAUAAUAGCUGAUAAGGAAGGUGGCAACAUGGUUUUCAGUCCAAGUGACGAUGACCAACACUCAUUCAUAACCUACAUCAACUUCCCAAGGCUUAAAAAGUUGACUUUACAACAUCUACCAAAACUAAGGAGCAUCUGUGAGGGAACAAUAAUCUGUGAUUCAAUUGAGAAUAUAAGGUUAAUGGGGUGUAAAAAUCUUGCAAGGAUGCCUCUGUCUUUUUCCAGCAUCGGUGGACAACCAAAUCCUCCCCCGGCCUUUAGAGCUGUUGAAAUCUUGAAAGAAGAGCUGGAGUGGUGGAAGUUGUUGCAAUGGAAAGAUCCUGGUUUGGGGAAUGUCAUACAACCUUUUGUUCAAUUUGUUGCUGAAUUUCCAGUAGUUUAAUCAAGGUUCCUUCAACCCUCAAGGAAAAAAGAAGAUACAUAAGGUCUCCAUCAGAAUGGCUGGUGCUCUGGCGAAUCUUCUUGAUUUGACUUCCAAUAAGCCUCUGACCUCAUUUUUGCCAUGGCAUCACCAAAUAUUCUGCUUUGCAGCACAGCAGCUGUUGUUGCUGGGAAGCGCCUGAGAAUACUCGGAGCCUCUUUUGUGUUCAUCCAGAGUUGGAAAUGAAGUUUGUUAUCAUCCUAAAUUCCCUUGGAAUUUGCGUCAGUGCUUUUCAACCACACCAAGGUUUUGCUUCUCUCAGGAACCCAAGCUAAUAUGAAGUAAAGACAGUUAAUCCCAGUUGCCGAGUCUUAAUAUUGUUCUGAACCUGCAUUUGCUAAGCCAGCUAGGAAAUGCCACAUAAGCAGUUAACAGUUAUGGAUUGCCUAUCUGCCCUUUUGUACAGUUAUUUCUCGACUUUCAUUGGCUUUCGAUGCUGUCGAAUUUGAACUUUUCGGUGCUUAAGAAUUUACCCCAGUUCCCUUGAAACCUAGUCCAACUUAUUUCAGCGGACACCAAAGUGCUGUCUUUUGGAGGAACAAAUUGGACGAGUUGGACAUUGUAAAACAGAGAAAUCUCCAAUAAACCAAAUGGGGCUUUAUUCAUGGAUUCCUUUUCUUUUCGUAAUCAUGAUGUAGAAAGUGGUUGGAAUGUAUUUUUGAGAAUAAGAAAUGCAACAGAUCUGAACAUUUUGCCUUCCAUUAUUCCAAUAAUCAGUUGUGCUCGAAAUCUCAUUCUUAUUUAUUCUCUUAGAAACCUCUGUAACCAGAAAGGUUGUCUAGUAUUUUAAGCUCAUAUAGAUGUUUAGUUUCCCUCUUUAGAACAAUGGCCAAAUCCCAUUAUGGAAGUGUAUGAUAUUUAAUUCUAUUGUCCC